rnacentral:rRNA from 1 species
UAGGGAAUCUUCCGCAAUGGACGCAAGUCUGACGGAGCAACGCCGCGUGAGUGAAGAAGGAUUUCGGUUCGUAAAACUCUGUUGUUAGAGAAGAACAGCGCAUAGAGUAACUGUUAUGCGUGUGACGGUAUCUAACCAGAAAGCCACGGCUAACUACGUGCCAGCAGCCGCGGUAAUACGUAGGUGGCAAGCGUUGUCCGGAUUUAUUGGGCGUAAAGCGAGCGCAGGCGGUCAAUUAAGUCUGAUGUGAAAGCCCCCGGCUCAACCGGGGAGGGUCAUUGGAAACUGGUUGACUUGAGUGCAGAAGAGGAGAGUGGAAUUCCAUGUGUAGCGGUGAAAUGCGUAGAUAUAUGGAGGAACACCAGUGGCAAAGGCGACUCUCUGGUCUGUAACUGACGCUGAGGUUCGAAAGCGUGGGUAGCAAACAGG